UGUUAUUGUCUGCAUAAUGCUGUUCUUAACUCUCUGAUCUCUUUGUGAAUUCCUGAAAGUGAUCCAAUGCUAAAGAUGCAAACACUUUAUGAAAGCAUUUUAGGUCACAGAACCUGAAGCUUCACAACAGUAUCCUGAUUUAACCUGAUUUAACUCAGUUAAUAAUAUGCAAAUGUUCACCAUCCACAUGAGAGAAUAAGAGUGUCAGUUUCCUCGAGUACAGGAUCAGUCACUAACACUAGGACAAAAGCUGUGUGGAUGUCCUGUCUGACUCUGAAAUCAAUCAUGAGUCAAAUUCUACUUAUUUUAUGUGCUUUUUUACCAUAUGUUUCUGGCAUCUCUCUGACCUCGUCUCCUGCACAGAUUAAAGCUCCUGGUCAAUCGGUGAAGUUGUCCUGUCAGAUCUCUGGAUAUGCCCUCAAAGACUAUGGCACAGCUUGGAUCAGGCAGCCUCCUGGAAAAGCCAUGGAGUGGAUCGGGAUCAUAUGGGGCAGUGGAUCGAUAGACUCUGGAAAUUCCUUCAAGAGUCGCUUCACGAUUUCCAGAGACACGGACCGGAAUGAGCUGUACUUAGACAUCAGCAGCCUGCAGACUGAAGACACAGCUGUGUAUUACUGUGCAAAGACAGACACAGUGACUCAGCUCAAUGUGAGAAAGUGA